rnacentral:tRNA from 1 species
GGGUUCGUGGUCUAGGCUGGCUAUGACACCUCCUUGACAUGGAGGAGGCCGGCGGUUCAAAUCCGCCCGGACCCA